GACAGAGGAUGCAAGCGUUAUCCGGAAUGAUUGGGCGUAAAGCGUCUGUAGGUGGCUUUUUAAGUCCGCCGUCAAAUCCCAGGGCUCAACCCUGGACAGGCGGUGGAAACUACCAAGCUGGAGUACGGUAGGGGCAGAGGGAAUUUCCGGUGGAGCGGUGAAAUGCGUAGAGAUCGGAAAGACCACCAAUGGCGAAGGCACUCUACUGGGCCAUUACUGACACUGAGAGACGAAAGCUAGGGGAGCGAAUGG
rnacentral:rRNA from 1 species